UCCGUGGAGCACUAGACCUAAGGAAGUCUGCAUGGGGAGGACACAGGACAGUGACAUCACAGGAUACCCCUCCCAUCAGGAAAAUCAAGAACCAGAACUCACUCAACUCUAUCCCAGGAGAACCAAGCCCUGCGUCAGGUGCAGUGCUGCCUGCCCCACUGUGCCAUGGGCCCCGGGCUCCUCUGCUGGGCGCUGCUUUGUCUCCUGGGAGCAGGCCCAGUGGACGCUGGAGUCACCCAAAGUCCCACACACCUGAUCAAAAUGAGAGGACAGCAAGUGACUUUGAGAUGCUCUCCUAUCUCUGGGCACACCAGUGUGUACUGGUACCAACAGGCCCUGGGUCAGGGGCCCCAGUUUAUCUUUCAGUAUUAUGAGAAGGAAGAGAGAGAGAAAGGCAACUUCCCUGGUCGAUUCUCAGGUCACCAGUUCCCUAAGUAUAGCUCUGAGCUGAAUGUGAACGCCUCGGAGAUGGGGGACUCGGCCCUGUAUCUCUGUGCCAGCAGCUUGGCACAGCCUGGCAGAGUCACUGACAUUCUGUAUAUAAACUUCCUGCCUUAGCUUUGAUUUGAGAGCUGCAGGCCCCACCCAGGUUUCACUCCUUCAAGGGAAGCUUUUAGUUGUUUGGAAGGCACGUCUUCUGUCCUACUGAGUGCAGAGCUCUCCCAACCAACAGAGCUCAGGUUUCCUGUGCCCUGAGAGUGCCCACUUUUCUGCUGCAUCUUCUUGCAGCUUAUCACUUCCUGGGUAGCUUCAGAACAAGAGUGACCGAUGAGCCCUAGAUGUGCGAUUGAUUCUUUGUAUUUGUUAUAUAGCUUAAAGCCUUUCGACAAUCUUGCAUAUCAAACGUUCUUAUUUUUCCUUUAUGGAUGGAAGGCUAAGGGACACUGAGUCAUUUUCCCAUGUCUCCUGGCUUGUAAGGAUCAGAAGCAGGAAACAAACUAGUCCAUACAUUUUCUAUCUAGCCCCUGCUCCAUCAUUACCUUCUGCAUCCUGGUCAGUAAGUCAGAGCCUUCACACUGCCCUCUAGUGACCAGCAGGGCUGCAGUAGAGAUUCAGUUGUCUUCAGGGGUCAUUACUAUGGCCUCUUCAUUAGCAACUUUGAGGAAUGUUAAAUUUCACACUUUUUAAAAAUCAUUUAUAUGCAUUCCC